AUUGAACGCUGGCGGCAGGCCUAACACAUGCAAGUCGAGCGAGCGGCGGACGGGUGAGUAAUGUAUGGGGACUGCCCGAUAGAGGGGGCUAACUACUGGAAACGGUAGCUAAUACCGCGUACUAUCGGAUAAACCAUACGGGAUUAUCUAGUAGGUGAGGUAAUGGACCACCUAGGCGACGAUCCCUACCUGGUCUGAGAGGAUGAUCAGCCACACUGGAACUGGAACACGGCCCAGACGCCUACGAAGGCAGGCGUCAGGAAUAUUGCACAAUGGGCGCAAGCCUGAUGCAGCCGUGCGGCGUGUACGAAUAAGGCCCUCGGGUUGUAAAGUACAUUCGGUAGGGAGGCGUUGCCGACAGAAGAAGCACCGGCUAACUCCGUGCCAGAAGCCACGGUAAUAC
rnacentral:rRNA from 1 species